CGAAGGGGGUCUUGGUGCUCAGCUUCUCUGCUUCCCCGCCGGGCUUCCUAGAGCUCGGGAGCUUUCUCAUCCAUGGAUUGAGAUCUGUUCCUCUGACCCUUGGAGUCACUUACCGUCCGGGAGCGUCGCUUUGGACUGGCGCUCGACUGGCAGAGUAAAAAAAAACCUUGCUAAGGGCUUCCCUGGUGGGGCAGUGAUUGAGAAUCCGCCUGCCGAUUCAGGGGACACGGGUUCGUGCCCCGGUCGGGGAAGAUCCCACAUGCUGCGGAGCGGCUGGGCCCGUGAGCCAUGGCCGCUGAGCCUGCGCGUCCGGAGCCUGUGCUCCGCAAUGGGAGAGACCACAACAGUGAGAGGCCCGCGUACCGCAAAAAACAAACAAACAAACAAAAAAACCUUGCUCAGCAAAACUUUUAUUUUUGACCAGUUCAUGAGAGAGACAAUAAAAAUACUGAAACCAAUUAAUUAGCUAUUAUUAGUUAUUAAUUAAUUAUAAUUAGCUAAUACUAAUAACUAGUUAUACAUAAUUUCAAAUGUUGGUGGAGACAUUGACCAUGAAACUUUUUUUUUCACAGCCUGGUAGUAGAGUGAGAGCACAAACAGCUCAGCUAUGACAAAUUCACACACACACACACACACACACACACACACACACUACAAAUGAGAUUUAACGGCUGAAUUAUGUUGGUGGUUUCUUCAUACCCAACCUCACCCUUGCUUGGGUACAAGAGCUUCAAGCACCUCCGUAAAUAUCAAGUAAUUUUAAACCCUGUGUUCCUUAGGGCCCCUCUCAUCUUGUAACCUAUGAUGUUAGACUUUUCCAAGUACUGUUUUAGGAAAGCCUGAGUUUAGGAUUUCAUCCUAGCAAUUUAUUAGCACACUUCCUAGAUUGGGGAAGAAAGAAAGCACAAAUGGUGACAAGAAUGCCUCGUCCAUGGACAGAUCACAUUCUACUGUACAGAGAUAAUAUAUCCACAUUAACAUAAGUCUCAAAAAAGGUAAGAUUCCCCUAACAUUUGUGCAAACAAAUCAAACUCUUGUUUGGGGUCACUGGUGUUUCCUUUCUAUA